rnacentral:rRNA from 1 species
AUUGAACGCUGGCGGCAUGCUUUACACAUGCAAGUCGAACGGUAACAGGUUAAGCUGACGAGUGGCGAACGGGUGAGUAAUGCAUCGGAACGUGCCCGGUCGUGGGGGAUAACGCAGCGAAAGCUGCGCUAAUACCGCAUACGAUCUGAGGAUGAAAGCGGGGGACCGUAAGGCCUCGCGCGAUCGGAGCGGCCGAUGUCAGAUUAGGUAGUUGGUGGGGUAAAGGCUCACCAAGCCAACGAUCUGUAGCUGGUCUGAGAGGACGACCAGCCACAAUGGGAAUGAGACACGGCCCAGACUCCUACGGGAGGCAGCAGUGGGGAAUUUUGGACAAUGGGCGAAGGCCUGAUCCAGCAAUGCCGCGUGCAGGAAGAAGGCCUUCGGGUUGUAAACUGCUUUUGUACGGAGCGAAAAGGUCUCCUCUAAUACAGGGGGCUCAUGACGGUACCGUAAGAAUAAGCACCGGCUAACUACGUGCCAGCAGCCGCCGUAA